CAAGGAACUAAGAGUUUAUGGGGGAUACCUUGGCAUUCAGAAGCGAUGAAGGACGUGGUUACCGACGAUAUGCUUCGGGGAGCUGGAAACAAGCUAUGAUCCGGAGGUUUCCGAAUGAGGCAACUUUUUAACUACUUAUUGAAUUCAUAGAUAAGAAAGAGCAAACCUAGAGAAUUGAAACAUCUUAGUACCUAGAGGAAAAGAAAGUAAAAACGAUUCCCUGAGUAGCGGCGAGCGAAACGGGAUUAGCCUAAACUUAAUUAUAAAUUAAGGGUAGUGGGACAAUAAUAAAGAAUUUAAUGGAACGAUUAGAGGAAUAAGUUUGGAAUACUUAACCAUAGAGAGUGAUAGUCUCGUACUCGAAAAUUGAACCAAUUCAAUUGUAUCCCAAGUAGCAUGGAGCACGUGAAAUUCCGUGUGAAUCUGCGAGGACCACCUCGUAAGGCUAAAUAUUCCUGAAUGACCGAUAGUGAAACAGUACCGUGAGGGAAAGGUGAAAAGAACCCCGGGAGGGGAGUGAAAAGAACAUGAAACCAUAAACUUACAAGCAGUAGGAGGACGACUUAACGUCUGACUGCGUGCCUGUUGAAGAAUGAGCCGGCGACUUAUAGUUAGUGGCAGGUUAAAGUAGUGAAUACUGAAGCCACAGUGAAAGCGAGCCUGAAUAGGGCGUUUGUCACUAGUUAUAGACCCGAACCCGGAUGAUCUAACCAUGGUCAGGUUGAAGCUCAGGUAAUACUGAGUGGAGGACCGAACCGACUGAUGUUGAAAAAUCAGCGGAUGAAUUGUGGUUAGGGGUGAAAUGCCAAUCGAAUUCGGAGCUAGCUGGUUCUCCCCGAAAUGCGUUUUGGCGCAGCGGUAAAUGUUAUAAUCUAGGGGUAAAGCACUGUUACGUAUGCGGGCUGGUAAUUCGGUACCAAAUCGUUGCAAACUAAGAAUACUAGAUGUAUAGUUUACCAGUAAGACUGUGGGGGAUAAGCUCCAUUGUCAAGAGGGAAACAGCCCAGAGCACCAGUUAAGGCCCUUAAAUAAUUACUAAGUGGUAAAGGAGGUGGGAGUGCAUAGACAAUCAGGAGGUUUGCUUAGAAGCAGCAAUCCUUUAAAGAGUGCGUAAUAGCUCACUAGUCAAGCGACUCGGCGUCGAUAAUAAGCGGGCAUAAGUCUGUUGCCGAAGCUGUGGGAUUGAAAGAUCGGUAGGGGAGCAUUCCAGUGGCGUUGAAGUUGUCUCGCGAGAGAUGGUGGAGCGACUGGAAGCGAAAAUGUAGGCAUGAGUAACGAUAAGACGGGUGAAAAACCCGUCCACCGUAAACCCAAGGGUUCCUGAUCAACGCUAAUCGGAUCAGGGUUAGUCGAGACCUAAGGUGUACCCGGUAAGGCCGGGGAAGCCGAUGGCAAAGCGGUUAAAUAUUCCGCUACCGCGACCAACGCGUGGCUAAGGCGUGACGCAGAAGUGACACUCCCGCGUGCUGACGAAUGCACGUUAAAGGGCGUAGGCCAGGAGAUAGGCAAAUCCGUCUCCUAUUAAGGCUGAAACCUGACAGUACCUGGAUUCUUCGGAUGAAGGGAUAGUGGAGGUAAUCAUGCUGCCAAGAAAAGCGUCGUAGUUUGUUGGAAGCGCUCGUACCCCAAACCGACACAGGUGGGUGAGGAGAGUAUCCUCAGGUGCUCGAGUAAUUCAUGGCUAAGGAACUAGGCAAAUUAGAUCCGUAACUUCGGGAGAAGGAUCCCCUGACUUUGUCAGGGCGCAGUGAAAAGGCCCAAGCGACUGUUUACCAAAAACACAUGUCUCUGCUAAGCCGUAAGGCGAUGUAUAGGGACUGACACCUGCCCGGUGCUGGAAGGUUAAAGAAGGGGGUUAGCUUCGGCGAAGCCCUUGACUGAAGCCCCAGUAAACGGCGGCCGUAACAAUAACGGUCCUAAGGUAGCGAAAUUCCUUGUCGGGU
rnacentral:rRNA from 1 species